UACGUAGGUGGCAAGCGUUGUCCGGAUUUACUGGGCGUAAAGAGCGCGCAGGCGGUCGAGUAAGUCGAAUGUGAAAGCCCCCGGCUUAACUGGGGAGGGUCAUUCGAUACUGUUCGACUUGAAGGCAGGAGAGGGCAGCAGAAUUCCCGGUGUAGUGGUGAAAUGCGUAGAUAUCGGGAAGAACAUCAGUGGCGAAGGCGGUCUGCUGGGCCGUUGCUGACGCUGAGGCGCGACAGCGUGGGAGCAAACAGG
rnacentral:rRNA from 1 species